rnacentral:rRNA from 1 species
UACGUAGGGUGCGAGCGUUGUCCGGAAUUACUGGGCGUAAAGAGCUCGUAGGCGGUUUGUCGCGUCGUCCGUGAAAACUUGGGGCUCAACCCCAAGCCUUGCGGGCGAUACGGGCAGACUUGAGUACUGCAGGGGAGGACUGGAAUUCCUGGUGUAGCGGUGAAAUGCGCAGAUAUCAGGAGGAACACCGGUGGCGAAGGCGGGUCUCUGGGCCUUACCUGACGCUGAGGAGCGAAAGCGUGGGGAGCGAACAGG